rnacentral:rRNA from 1 species
GUCUACAGCCAUGCCACUGUGAACAAGCCCAAUGUCUGAUCUCAGAAGCUAAGCAGGGUCAGACCUAGUUAGUACUUGAAUGGGAGACCACCUAGGAAGACCAGGUGCUGUAGGCA